ACUCAAUAGAUACCCGGGUAGUCCACGCCCUAAACGAUGUCUACUAGUUGUCGGGUCUUAAUUGACUUGGUAAACGCAGCUAAACGCGUGAAGUAGACCGCCUGGGGAGUACGGUCGCAAGAUUAAAACUCAAAGGAAUUGACGGGGACCCGCACAAGCGGUGGAUGAUGUGGAUUAAUUCGAUGCAACGCGAAAAACCUUACUACCCUUGACAUGGAUGGAAUCCCUGAGAGAUCGGGGAGUGCUCGAAAGAGAACCAUUACACAGGUGCUGCAUGGCUGUCGUCAGCUCGUGUCGUGAGAUGUU
rnacentral:rRNA from 1 species